rnacentral:rRNA from 1 species
CCUACGGGCGGCAGCAGUGAGGAAUAUUGGUCAAUGGGCGCGAGCCUGAACCAGCCAAGUCGCGUGAAGGAUGACUGCCCUACGGGUUGUAAACUUCUUUUAUCAAGGAAUAAAGUGAGGCACGUGUGCCUUUUUGUAUGUACUUUAUGAAUAAGGAUCGGCUAACUCCGUGCCAGCAGCCGCGGUAAUACGGAGGAUACGAGCGUUAUCCGGAUUUAUUGGGUUUAAAGGGAGCGUAGAUGGGUUGUUAAGUCAGUUGUGAAAGUUUGCGGCUCAACCGUAAAAGUGCAAUUGAUACUGGCAGCCUUGAGUACAGGUGAGGUAGGCGGAAUUCGUGGUGUAGCGGUGAAAUGCUGAGAUAUCACGAAGAACUCCGAUUGCGAAGGCAGCUUACUAAACUGCCACUGACAUUGAGGCUCGAAAGUGUGGGUAUCAAACAGGAUUAGAUACCCGGGUAGUC